rnacentral:rRNA from 1 species
AUGUGUAUAUAUAGGAAUACAUACAUGGCAAGAAGGGAUUUUACAAUACCUAGGACCUGCACAGGAAUGCUUGAUGAAAUGCUUUAUAAUAUUUUAGCACUGUUUUUCGGCAGUCCUUGUGGUAGGAAAGUGAUCCAUUCUUCGAAAACUCAUCUACUACUACUCACCAAAUCACAUCGUUCCAUAUAUGGACUAACUGAGAAUCUGGGAUUUUUCCAUCAAUCGCACUGCCUUUCCAUCCCCUCCAUCAACAAGCGAUCAAUCUUCCACAUCGCAAAAAAAAGAAGAGAGUCAAUCUUCCAAAUCACUUCAUUCCAUAUAUGGACUAACUUGGAAUCUGGGAUUCCAUCGAUCGCGCUGCCUACAUGCCCCUCCAACAAGCGAUCAAUCUCAGCACAGAAGGCUCUUUGUUUUCUUGACGCUCGUGGCUUUUGUAGCAAAUUCUAUUUGUUCUUCGCCGCUUUGGGUUGUGGGGCUUACUUCCUAGCCCCGCCUGCUUGUUGUACCACCGCCCACUUUGUGGCUCUAGCGCCAGCGCCAGCCUGGGACAUCUCUCUAUCCGGGCCGGCAUACCGGGAUGUUGCAGGGCCGCCGUCACCUCGAGAAGGGGCGAGGAGUCCAUCGUAUGCCCAGUUGAUGUCCCUGGGUACUCACUGUGGCACGAAGAGUCCCUCACCGUUGUCCUCUUCGACCAGGAUAACAACGACGGGUCAGCCUGUGCACACUACAAACUGA